UUAGAUUCUCUGUCAAGGGCUUCUCCCCACCACUGGUCCUUGCUUUCCCCACCGCCGGCUUCUCCAUUUGCUGUUCCCUUGAUGGCUGCUCCUGCUGUUUAAGAUCGUUGGAGAUGUUCUUGAUCUGAUGUGUUUAAUCUAAGGAUCCAUACUAACGUGGGUUUUCUGAAAUAUUUAAUUUAUUUUGGCUUGAUUAGCACUUGGAUUUCAAAUGAGGACGGAGUUGUUUUUCUUUUGGCAUUGGUCUAAUUUUUUUUUUUGCCAUGUUUGGCUGUGACUGCAAUCGCUUUGAUGGACCAGCUAGAAUAUUGCCCUGUUAAACAAAAUUCUAGGAAUGUACGCAGCUGUUGAGAUGUGCUACUGCAUAAAAAAUAUUGUAUGUUCCAAGCUGUUGAUUUAUCAAGUUUGUUUCUCUAGCUAUGGUGUGGACUAUUUAUCGAUGAAUCCGAACUUUAACACAGACUAUUCGGUUUGCAGCAAGGAUAUAUAAUUUUCCUGAAACUGAUUUUUUUUUGUUAACUGAAACUCUUACAGUCUUACUCAUAUACAGUUUCUGGUAAAACCACGGAAGUAACUGAUCCUCAAAAAGCUGAGUGCGAAACAACACAAGUAACUAAUUGGCAAUUGUUUUUUUUAUACAUAGGUUGGUGCUCUUACUUGGGCAGUACCACCUACUGGCAGUAGAUUAGUAAUGGAUGGAUACACAUGCGCAGGUCACCCGCUAUCUCAGGUAUUUUCUCCAAAUCCAUUCAUGAAAAUGGGUGUUAGGUAUCUGCAGGUUAUGUACAUUUCUGACUAUGUGAGCAAAUUGUCCCCUGCUACUUCUGUUGGCUCAAACCGUUUGUCCAGCUGCUACUUCUGCCCGUUAUCGAGCCAUUUUCUCUUGACAAGAGCAUGCCGGUUUAGCCUGUGAUUUUUCUGUUGACAUGGACGCUUGGAGGCUUGCAAUUCAUCUUGGCUUAUUGGAUUUCUUUAGUCUUUCUUAAAGGUGAUCGGUCUUAGUAAUUCUACUGAUUAAUCUUCGGAUCUGCAGGCUGGCUCUGUUUAUUGUUCUUUUUCAGGCUGCUCUUCUUCAGGUUCAGGUCCUACAUCAGACAGUGGGUGCUGUCAUAUUCCCUUUCUUGAUGCACUGGUGGUUCAGAUUUGAAUAUGGGGUACACAUAUAUAUAUGUAUGUUCUUGGAAGGGACUCUAUGCUAUUGAUACUGUACUGCUUAUCAACUUGAUCUCCCACUACGCCCUCAAUGUUCUGAGUUGAAUGGUCAAUUAUCAAGUGGCAUACAAGACCUACUGUGACGACGAGAUUCAGCACAGAAAAAGAAGUAAAGAACCAAUACAGUUUUUCGAUGCAACAGUGCCUUAAGUUUGUAGUUCUUGCUUUGGAUAUUGGGUUACUAUCGAAGAAAUCUUCUGCUAUUUUGAAUUAAUCGCAACCACCUAAUUCCAUCUCCAUCAAAGUAAGGCUACCUCAACCACAGCAAAUAGAAGUAUAUGUGUCGCUGAAACGACCAAAGUAAUUGUUCUCGAGACAUGCUAUAAUAUGGAGUACCACCAUAUCCAUGUUUUGGAUGGUUGUUUCCCUGAUCGAGCGCUGCUCUUUUUUCCCGCGUAUUUGCUUUUCGGAAACAACUUCCUAGGUGCACAAAGGCAAUCAGUUCUCUUACCUUUAUUGUGUGGGAAGUUAAGUCCUUAGAUCCAUUAAAAUGACAUAGUAAUCACUCAAAUAUAUUCAAUGUUGUGAAUAAUUUUUGAUAGGAAAGUAUGAUUUUCAUAUUCCAAACAAGAAUUAGAAUUUAGCAUUUACUUGGAUUUAUGUUUCAUCCGCAUUUGUGAUUUUAGAGAAGCAAACUAACUGACCUACUUUAGGACCAAGGAGUAAAAAAUAAAUCUUCUAUGGGAGCCAUACUUAUGUUUCUUCCCGUUUAAUAUGAGUGUUGUUGACCCGUUCUCUCCUUAGUUUUUUUAUUCUGCAUCUCCCUGCUUGGUUGCUAUAGAGAUGGCAUGCUGCAAUAUAUAUGUUGUCUUUUGGUUUCCUGAUAGAGGUCAAAGAGAAGCUCACUUACUGUUUGCUAGCAUAAAAUAUUCUUAUAAGCAAUUUUCGUGUGUGGGGCAGUUAAUUAAUUUUACAGGGACGUUGUAGGCUGGUGGUUCUACAAGCUUGAAAUGUAAUCCAAUAUAAAAUACAAACAAAAGCAUAGAAUACAUGUAAGAACAAACACUUUAAGUGGAGUAUUCAUCAUGCAAGUGUGCUCUCAUGGCAUAACAUAUUCUUCUGUUAUCCUUACAUGAAUAUUAGCAUCAUUUUUUGCACAAAUACAUGCAUUAGAGAUAUAUAAAAAGAAAUAACUCCUUUCUUCACAUGAUAGUGCAUAGCUAUAUAUGUGUCUAUGAAGGUAGUUCCAAAAGUGGAGAAGUCUAUGCUCAUCAUCGUCCUUCUCAAUUUAUGCUACAAUCAAUAGUUGUUGUGAUUUUCUUAGUGAAGAGAUGGACAUGGAAUCAAAUAUAUAGUUGAACUUAAUUAUUUCUGGUUCUUAUGCAUAUCUCUCUUCUUCAUCUGAUAUGUAAGAGUAUCUCAUAUAUCCACUUCCUUCAGCUUGAGAAAUGCAGUUGACUUGAAAAGGUUGCUGAACUUUUGAAGAACGUUCAAGUGAGUUUUCUUAAGAGUGUUUCCGUAGUAUGUUUCACUUCCUUCAUGACCUUCGUAGUCAAAAUGUCUUCUAAUGGUAAAAUAGGAAACCAAUACUGAUAAUUAAAUUGAAGAUGCAAUGAUGUUUCACCAUUCGGUUUUACAAAGUUGAACCUAUAAAAAACUAGAGUGAUGAUACAUAAAAGGGAUAUUGAUGAGCUCCACCUGAAGUGCUCACGGAUAGAGAGUCUGAACAUUUAGAAAGUCAGCUUUUCCUUUAUUUUGCCAUAGUAUCUUGCCGAAGUUGAUCACAUGUAUAUUAGAUAUUACCAACAAGAGUGCACCAUAGAUGAGGCGAGUGCGUAACCCUUGAUGAUGAGGGUGCUUAAUCAUA